UUGAUCCUGGCUCAGGACGAACGCUGGCGGCGUGCCUAACACAUGCAAGUCGAGCGAUGAAGUUUCCUUCGGGAAACGGAUUAGCGGCGGACGGGUGAGUAACACGUGGGUAACCUGCCUCAUAGAGGGGAAUAGCCUUCCGAAAGGAAGAUUAAUACCGCAUAACAUUGCAGUUUCGCAUGAAACAGCAAUUAAAGGAGCAAUCCGCUAUGAGAUGGACCCGCGGCGCAUUAGCUAGUUGGUAAGGUAAUGGCUUACCAAGGCGACGAUGCGUAGCCGACCUGAGAGGGUGAUCGGCCACAUUGGGACUGAGACACGGCCCAGACUCCUACGGGAGGCAGCAGUGGGGAAUAUUGCACAAUGGGGGAAACCCUGAUGCAGCAACGCCGCGUGAGUGAUGACGGUCUUCGGAUUGUAAAGCUCUGUCUUUGGGGACGAUAAUGACGGUACCCAAGGAGGAAGCCACGGCUAA
rnacentral:rRNA from 1 species